GACGGGGGGGGCAAGUGUUCUUCGGAAUGACUGGGCGUAAAGGGCGCGUAGGCGGCGGACACAGUCAGACGUGAAAUUCCUGGGCUCAACCUGGGGGCUGCGUUUGAUACAUGUCUGCUUGAGUUCGGAAGAGGGUCGUGGAAUUCCCAGUGUAGAGGUGAAAUUCGUAGAUAUUGGGAAGAACACCGGUGGCGAAGGCGGCGACCUGGUCCGAUACUGACGCUGAGGCGCGAAAGCGUGGGGAGCAAACAGG
rnacentral:rRNA from 1 species